rnacentral:lncRNA from 1 species
UUUUUAUUUUUUUCCAUUAUAGCUGGUUUACAGUGUUCUGUCAAUUUCCUAUUGUACAGUAAGGUGACCCAGUCACACAUACAUGAAUACAUUCUUUUUUCUCACAUUAUCCUGCUCCAUUAUAAGUGACUAGAUAUAGUUCCCAGUGCUAUACAGUAGGAUCUCAUUGCUUAUCCGUUCCAAAGGCAAUAGUUUGCAUCUAUUAACCCCAAAUUCCCAAUCCAUCCCACUGCCUCCCCCUCCCCUAUUUAUUUAUUUAUUAGGGCUGCACCUGUAGCAUAUGGUGCAGGCUAUUGGUCACAUUGGAGCUGCAACUGCCGGUCUAUACCACAGCCACGGCAACUCGGAUCCGGGCGGUGUCUGGGACCUACACCACAGCUCACGGCAAUGCUGGAUCCUUAACCCACUGAGCAAGGCCAGGGAUCGAACCUGCAUCCUCAUGGAUACUAGGGUUCUUAACCCACUGAGUCACAACAGGAACUCCUGCACGAGGUUAUGCCAAUAACCCAAGCGUGAGCUGGGUGGGGACUUGGAUCUGUGGAAUAAUGUGCAGGUUGCAAGAAGUCAGAGAACCUGGAUGUGUUUUGAAUGUAAAGCCAUCAAAAUUUGCUAACAUACUGCACUGGGUGUGGGGGGAUGGGUGAGGGAAAAGAGGAGUCAAGGAUGAUUCCUGAGAACUGCAUGGAUGCUGCCGGCCUGGGCUGGGGUGAAGAAGACUAUGAGUGGAGGAGAAAAUCAGGUGAGUAUUCACAUUGCUCUGCAAGGUUGGGACUGUGGUUAUCUUCCAUAAAAAUUGGGACCCAGUGAGGUGAGACUUCAUAUGGUGCUGGGAGCUUCAAGAAAGCUACCCCUGCAGGGUUUGGAGCUGGGGAGCUCCUGGGAGUGGGAGCUCCUGGGAGUGGGAGCUGCUGAGGCUGGGAGGGGUGAUCCAAGCUCUCCAGAGCCAAACUAUCCAGGAGGUCCCCACCUCUAACACACACCCUGUUUGCAGGGCAUUGAGGCUUAUGCCUUGGCCCCUGGGGGUCUUGUCCACCUGGAACAAGGAAGCAGUCAAGGUAAUAGCGGCUUUCUAUUUAGACGUUCUAAUGGGAAUGCAGAAAACCAAGAGGGGUGCAGGCUUAUCAAGUUCUACCUUGUAAUUUAAGAUCCACCUAGUCCAAGGGUGUUCAGAAGCAUCUUUGCACAAGCUGGGGGAAAGGAAGAGAUGUCUCUGGCUCCUCCUCUUCUGCACCCACAUUCUUGAUUCUCCAACACACUCUAGGGAGGAUGAAAAUGAAAAGGGAUAGAGGAGAAGAAAUCAGGAGGAAAAGAAGGGAAACGUCCUCUAAAUACUUGUUGUUCUGACUCAGAAAAUGAGAUAGAAGAAUGGAAAUCUCCAAGAAAACCUGAGCCUUCCUGCCCUAGAAGAUGAACUGCCAUGACUACUUACCAACCUCCUCCUCCCGGUGUAGCCAAACAGCACUGGGGAACCACGCUUCAGAGGGGAACACUGCUUCUUUUUCAAGUUAAACACAUCAGAGCCUGUGGUGUAUAAGCCACAUGGGGUGCUGGGAGUUCCAAGAAAUGAUGAAAGAAUAUCGUUGAAAUCUAGACACAGAAGCUCUGUGCAGCUAGACUUCUACUCAGUGACUCUGCAAACUGUAUUAGCUACCCUUCAUUCACUGAGUCCUGAUGUGUGCCCAGUAUCAUAUGGUGUCUCAUUUAACGCUCACAGCAACCAGGUGAAAUAGUUCUUAAUAUCCCAUUCUCUCAGGUGAAGACACAGAGGUUCAGAGAAGUCACAUGCCCCAGCCAGUCAUGGAGUCGAAUUUGGACCCAAGUCAGUCUAUUACAAAACCUGUGUCUUUUUUUCUUUUUUUGGUCCCGCUCACAGCCUUCACAAGUUCCUGGGCCAGGGAUCAAACCCAUGCUACAGCUGUAACCAGAGCCAUAGCAGUGAUAACACUGAGCUACAAAGGAAUCCCUAGAGCCUGUGUCUUAACCAUUGUAUUUCACUGCUUCCUAAAGGAAAAGGACAAGAGAGAAACACUAAUAAUAGCCAC